GUUAGGAAUAUUGGACAAUGGGCGCAAGCCUGAUCCAGCCAUGCCGCGUGAGUGAUGAAGGCCUUCGGGUUGUAAAGCUCUUUAGCCGAUGAUUAUAAUGACUGUAGUCGGAAAAUAAGCCCCGGCUAACUUCGUGCCAGCAGCCGCGGUAAUACGAAGGGGGCGAGCGUUAUUCGGAAUCACUGGGCGUAAAGCGUGCGUAGGCGGCUUUGCAAGUUGGGAGUGAAAGCCCAGGGCUCAACCCUGGAAUUGCUCUCAAAACUGCAAGGCUCGAAUUCGGGAGAGGAUAGCGGAAUUGUCAGUGUAGCAGUGAAAUGCGUAGAUAUUGACAGGAACACCAGUGGCGUAAGCGGCUAUCUGGACCGAUACUGACGCUGAGGCACGAAAGCGUGGGGAUCAAACAGGAUUAGAAACCCUGGUAGUCC
rnacentral:rRNA from 1 species